UACAGAGGUCUCAAGCGUUGUUCGGAUUCAUUGGGCGUAAAGGGUGUGUAGGUGGCGCGCUAAGUCGGGUGUGAAAUUUCGGAGCUUAACUCCGAAACUGCAUUCGAUACUGGCGUGCUUGAGGACUGGAGAGGAGACUGGAAUUCAUGGUGUAGCAGUGAAAUGCGUAGAGAUCAUGAGGAAGACCAGAGGCGAAGGCGGGUCUCUGGACAGUUCCUGACACUGAGACACGAAGGCCAGGGGAGCAAACGGG
rnacentral:rRNA from 1 species